CUCUAACUCAGCCUCAACCAAAACCCUAUCUCGUAACAAAAUUUCCAAAUCAAGGCCUAACACAAAUCCUUCACAUCUAUUGCUCACAGUGGCUGCAUCUCUUAAUAUGGGUUAGUUUGGAAGUCCAUUUGGAGGAGUCGCUGUGUUCAAAGGUCAGAGAAGAAGAAAAUUGGCAGUGCAUCAACAAGUGAGGCAUUAGUGAAUAAAUUGGCGGGACUUGCAGCAAGUAAUUUAUGGAUUGUAUCUUACUAUUGUCUGAGAGGUUUGAGGCUGUAAACCAUGUCCUAAUAGAGGUGGCUCUUACUGGUUCACCAUGAUGCAAAGCAAAAGGCAUUACCCAGCAGAUAUUUAGCUCAAAGUUGUAGGGAAGAGUCAGUUAAGUUCUCCCUUUUAGAUUACUUACUUUCAAUAGGACCAAGUGCUUGCAAUUCUUAAAAGGCUGGAAAUUAUUUGAGAAGGUGGUCAUAAGAAGAAGCAAAUGUGAACCUGUGUUUCGUGUUACAAAACAAGUAGCAGCUAAGAAGGAAAAACCAGAAUCUUGCUGCUCUGAAUCGGAUUUGAUAGUGAUUCCGAGAAAGUUGCAGCUCCUUUAACUAAGAAUGGAAAUUUCAAGAAGAAAACGAAUCAAGUACUGAUGAUAGUUCAGAUGAUUCAAGCUCUGAGGAUCAGCCAGUUGCAAAGAAAGUUGCUCCUUGCACCAGCAACAAAGAAGCAAGAAUCCAGUGAUGAUGACAGUUCAGAUAACUCAUAAGGGUUACAUAGCACAAAUGAGGGAACAAGCUGGGUACUUAGAUGAGAAUAGUACUAGAAACAUCAUCACCUAGUGCUAUUCUGAUGCCCAUACACGAUCAAGCUUUGAAUCCAAUCUUUGAAUCCUUGCGUUAUUACAACUCCAGCAAGAGGAACCAGUUCACAAUGUCAAUGAAGAAGUCCUCUUGCAAGUACAAUUGAAACAUCAGCACUGAGCACAUCUUUAAGCUAGGGGUAGAGGUAAUUUCGACUGAUGAUGUUGGAAUACCAGUAGAUAUAAAGCAAUAUAGCAUCUGUCUAGUAUA